CCUAAGGCGAGGCAGAAAUGCGUAGUCGAUGGGAAACGGGUUAAUAUUCCCGUACCUUGGAUAGCUGCGAUGGAGAGACGGAGAAGGCUAGGUGAGCCGGGCGACGGUUGUCCCGGUUUAAGCAUGUAGGCAGUGGGAUUAGGCAAAUCCGGUCCCACAAUGCCGAGACGCGACGACGACUGCCCUUUUAGGGCGGGAAGUCAUUGAUGCCCUGCUUCCAGGAAAAUCUUCUAAGCUUCAGGCUAUUCGAGACCGUACCCCAAACCGACACAGGUGGUCAGGUAGAGAAUACCAAGGCGCUUGAGAGAACUCGGGUGAAGGAACUAGGCAAAAUGGUACCGUAACUUCGGGAGAAGGUACGCCGCUGAUGGUGAUGGGACUUGCUCCCUAAGCUGUUGGCGGCCGAAGAUACCAGGUGGCUGCGACUGUUUAUUAAAAACACAGCACUGUGCAAACACGAAAGUGGACGUAUACGGUGUGACGCCUGCCCGGUGCCGGAAGGUUAAUUGAUGGGGUUAGCGCAAGCGAAGCUCUUGAUCGAAGCCCCGGUAAACGGCGGCCGUAACUAUAACGGUCCUAAGGUAGCGAAAUUCCUUGUCGGGUAAGUUCCGACCUGCACGAAUGGCGUAACGAUGGGGGCGCUGUCUCUACCCGAGACUCAGUGAAAUUGAAAUCGCCGUGAAGAUGCGGUGUAUCCGCGGCUAGACGGAAAGACCCCGUGAACCUUUACUAUAGCUUCACAGUGAACUUUGAGCAUGUUUGUGUAGGAUAGCUGGGAGGCUUUGAAGCGGGAACGCCAGUUCUCGUGGAGCCAACCUUGAAAUACCAGCCUGACCUGUUUGAGGUUCUAACUUGGUCCCCUGAUCGGGGAUGAGGACACUGUGUGGUGGGUAGUUUGACUGGGGCGGUCUCCUCCCAAAGCGUAACGGAGGAGCACAAAGGUGGGCUAAGCACGGUCGGACAUCGUGCGGUUAGUGUAAUGGCACAAGCCCGCUUAACUGCGAGACAGACACGUCGAGCAGGUACGAAAGUAGGUCAUAGUGAUCCGGUGGUUCUGUAUGGAAGGGCCAUCGCUCAACGGAUAAAAGGUACUCCGGGGAUAACAGGCUGAUACCGCCCAAGAGU
rnacentral:rRNA from 1 species